rnacentral:pre_miRNA from 1 species
AUAGUACUCCCUCCGUCCGAAAAUACUUGUCAUCAAAAUAGACAAAAAUGGAUGUAUCUAGAACUAAAAUUGAUGACAAGUAUUUUCGGACGGAGGAAGUACGUA